CUUUGCAGCUGUUCGUCGAUAAAAAUGAAAUACCUUGCGCUUGAGCUAGCAGAGGAGAAAAAACAAUUUGUCGUGCGGCUUGAGACACUUGCCUUGAAGAAGUCUUCGAACAAUCAAGUCUUCGAAGAA